GAUGGAUAUGAUGACGCACACCUGUAGUCCCAGCUAAUCGGGAGGCUGAGACAGGAGGAUUGCUUGAGUCCAGGCGUUCUGGGCUGUAGGGCGCUCUGCUGAUUGGGUGUCCACACUAAGUUUAGCAUCAAGGUGUUGACCUCCUGGGAGUGGGAGGCCACCAGGUUGCCUAAGAAGCAGUGAACUGGCCAGGGUCAGAAAUGGGGCAGGUCAAAACUCCCUUGCUGAUCAGGAGUGGGAUUGCACCUAUGAAUAGCCACUGCACUCCAGCCUGGGCAACAUAGUGAGACCCUAUCUCAA
rfam:Otolemur garnettii contig101568, whole genome shotgun sequence.